CUUGCCUUGACCAAUAUAAUGCAAUGGAAGUGACACUGAGCCUGAUGGGAGUGCUGAUAGCCCCUUGACAAAGACUACCAGGAACACACCAGCAGUCAAAUGAAAUUGGAUUUAUGGACUAGCUGCAGUGAGAGAGAAUGCACACCAUGGGGGAGCCACAGACUGUCUCAAUAAGAAGGUGUAAGUACUGACUUAUAGAGGUAAUUUUGAAAAGAGUUCAAGUAAGUGGGGCUUGGCUCUGGAACAGAUGCUGUCAGGAAGCAGGGGUACUUCUAUGAUUGGGUAUCUUAAAUUUUUAUCUAGAAGGCAGAAGGAAUGGAAUGAAGUUUAUGUCAUAAUUAGUAAAGAAGCAGCAGUCACUCAUAUAAGCCACAUUGUUGUUUGUGUCUGCAUUUGGACAUGAUUAUGAAGUGGAUUUAUUUCUUUGUCUUGCCCCAUCCUGGUCACAGAAUGACUUUGUCUGAUGUCAGUGUUCAGUGAAAAUGUUUAUAUUUAAUAGGAAAAAGGACAGCCUGCCAGUUCCCAGCAACACCAAGGUUUAGCUGAUAGUGUCUGGCCAGCUCCCAAAUGUCAAGGAUUAUUUCUCUCUUUCAUAGGGGAAUAAACUUUAAGAGGCUUGAUAACUUCUGUUUUGGCUUGGGUUAAGCCAACCACUUAUAUAAGAAGUUCAACUACUUUGAGACCACCAUGCCAUAAGGAAGUCUGAGUUAGUCACAUGAAAAAGUAGUGUUAGAGAACACCAUUGAAAACCAGAAUUGUAAUUCUUGUAGUUCCCAGCCAGCUGCUAUUGGAGCUAUCUCAACUGACCACGGAGCAGAGACAAGCUGUCCUUGCUAGGACCUCAUGGAAUUUCUGGUCCACAGGAUCCUAAGAAAUAAAAUGGCUACUGUUUUAAGCUGCUAUGCUUUGGGGUUGGUUUCUUACACAGCAAUAGAUAACUGAAACGAGUAGCAAGCAAAUUUAUAUUACACUGGUAAGAUAAUCCUUGCAACAAAAAUUUUGGACACUGAGAAGACAAUCAUUUAAGAUUUUCUAAAGAUGUAUCAUAGGUUGGCGCAAAUAAUAAUUGACUCAUCUUUAUACUACAGGAGCAAAUCUCAGUAUUUUUUAUCUCCUUUUUUAUCAUUUUAUCUCCUUGAAGAGAGUGUCUGUAUAUUAAUAAUCUAACUUUAUACCUGUGAGAAUACAUGGUACAUUAUUAUGACAAAACCAAGCAAAACGGAGGUUUCUAGCAACCUGUCAAAAAUCAGCCAAGCACAUCCCAAAAUGCAGAGACUAGGUAAUAUUCAGAUUCACUGUGGGGUUUUCUGACUCAGUCCAGAUCAACCCUAACAGGCAGCUCUGAAGACUAUAAAGAACAUGAAAGAGAUUGGAGCCAAUAUUUAAAACCAUUCCAAGCAGGCCUAUCAUGAUUGGGCCAUCACCAAGCCUGAUCCCCAGGGCUGAUACAGAAGUACCAGUAUCAGGUGGGCCUGAGCUUCCCAGUCUUGAUUUGGCCACUCAGAGCACAUCUAUCAUAUCACAACAACAACCCCAUUACACCCAAGCCCUUCCCAGGGCCUCCUGAGAGACUGUGUUCUCAACACUCAUUUUCAGCUCCAGAGCACCACGGCGGCCAGCAGAAAGCUAUGGGAUUUCUGGUCAACCAUCAGCUGGUGUGCCAGCUCAAUUCUGCUGGUGGCUGAGUUACCAUUACAGCAGAACUAGAGGGAAAAUACAUAGACAUAUAUCCCACCACCAGAUUGUGUUUGCAACAGGGGUAGCUUGGGUGAGAUUACGUCCACGUAAGAGGAUUUGCAACACUGAGCCAACCGCUGCAGGCUGGAGCCCUUCCCACAUUGUUGCCCCCUCUGACUUCCCGAGGAGCACACCCACCUGCCUGCCUGCUCAUUGGAGGGAGACCAGCAGAGCUGCUUAGACACAUCUUAUGGUCCAUGGGAAUCUGCAGUUCUUCACGUAUGAUGCAAGAACUAGAUUGUUUUCAAGUUUUCAUGUCCCUCCCUCUUUCCUAUUGUGCUCCAUGUCUCCUUCCUGUUGAUUGCUACAUAAAUUGGGGAAAGGAAAGUAAGAGAAAAACUUCUAAAAAAGCCAUACAACUUCUCAUUCAUUUGUGGCUCCUAAGAAGUCAUGGAAGAAAAUACAGUGAUCUGUUCAAAAAAAAUGUUGAGGAAUUUAAAUUAUAGAUUUUGGAAAAUCAAAAAUAAACCUCAGGGUAGUUACUCUUGUGCCAUCAUGCCAAUGAAGAAGGUUAAAUAACUUCCCAGGACACAAGAAAGCCAGGAGCUGGGAAGCAUACACAGCUCGUUUGGUUCCAAACCCUUUCCAUUGGGAACCAAGUUGACCAACUAUUUCUGAGCAUCCCUUUCAGGUGUGAGAGGGUUUCAAAGCUGGCUCUGGGGUGUCAGGAGGAAGAAGAGGAAGGGGAGGGAAGCAUCAUUCUCUGAGGCAACUGAAGCAGGGUUGGGGGGACCGGUACUGAUCAAAGAGCUAACCUUACAAAAAUGAUGUCUUUACUCUAAGGGUAAUUAUUCCUUGAGCUUAUUAGGAAAAUCCAUAUCAUGGUCCAGAAAAAAAUCACCUGGCAGUUAGGGCCCUGGAUACCACAUGCUCUGAACUCCUGGCCUCAAGGAAGAAGCAGUGCUCAUGCUCUUAAAAGAGAAGGGCUUUAGGGGCGCCUGGGUGGCUCCGUUGGUGAAGUGUCCAACUUUUGGUUUCAGCUCAGGACAUGAUGUCAAGGCCCUGGGAUCGAACCUGACAUCAGGCCCCGCACUCAGCACAGUAUGCUUCAGAUUCUCUCUCCCUCUGCCCCUCCCCCUGCUCAUGCUCGCUCUUUCUCUCUCUCUCUCUCAAAUAAAUAAAUCAAUCUAUGGGGGGGGUUAGAGGCCUCCUGCUUCCUGCUGCGCGUUCACUCAGAGGGGAGGCAAGUACAUCCAGGGGCCCAGUCAAGAUACCACUAGGCAUGAAUGGAGUUGACCCAUGAUCCCUGGUCAGCUGGUACCCAUGGACAAAAUUGCCCUGCUCUUUGCACACGUCCAUCCAACAGAUUCUCCUCUCUCAGCAGCCAAACCCAGGCCAACCAGCCCAGGAGUCCACUUUUGAACAAAUGCUGUAUUCUGUGCAGAGGCUUAUUUAUCAACAAACUAAUCAAGCUUCCACUUCAGGGACCCCAAGUAGCAGGGGCCUCUCUCAAAGGGCUACAUGCAAUUUAUAUCCAUGAUCUGUUAUUAUUUUUCUGUAAGAUAGCCCUCCCAAUUGUAGAUUCCCCAGGUUUCAAAAACCUGGAUCUGCCCCAUCUCUUAUGGGGCAUCCCAUGGCAGUUUUAAUUUAUAGAGCUUAUAACAGGGGCUUAAUAAAUACAAGUCAGAAUAAUGAAUGCAACACCUCUGAUGCACCAACAUGAGUCACAGAUACAAUCUCUGUCUUGGAGAAAUCCAAAGUAUAGUGGAGAAGGGAAACAGGAAUAAAAAAAUAAGCACCACAUAAAUGUAACCUCCUGACUUCAAUGAAUGCUCCACAGCUUCCCUGUUAGAGGCAUAGACAAUUGGAGGACGUGACCCAGGCAGAGAGGUUCCCAGGAGGCAAUGGUGGAACUGAGAUCUGAAGGAAAUGAGAAUUAACCAGGCGGAAGGGGGUGGGGGCAGAGAACUUUCUAGGCUGCGAAGACAGAAGUGCCAUGAGGGAAAGGCCAGGACAUGUCAUAGGUACUGAGAGAAGGCUCGAUCAGCUGCAGCCCAGACAGUGAGGGAGAGCUUGGUAUAACAUGAGUCUGGGAGGCAAACCAACCACGGGGGAACUCAUCAGCCACGUGACGGUCUCCACCAUUAUUAUAAGAACAAGGGGAAGUGAUGAAGCCGGCAUGUUUCGUUGGAGUGUUGGGGUGGCGGCAUGGAUAAGAGGAAUGCCAUGAGCAGUUACAUCAGGUUCCAGAGAAGGCAAGAGGCCACAGUCCAGCUGGCAGGAAGUACAUGGUGAGGGGGUUUGGCUGAGACAAGAGGAGGGAUUUCCUCCAUUGUCGGGGAGCCCAGCACCAGCAAUGAAGGCAAUGAGUUUAUACGGGAAGGAGAUGCCCUCUGAUGGCCUUGUUCCCCUGCUACAAGUGGGAAGAUGAGAAGAGAAACAGGAAGUGUGUAGAAAAUGAGAGAGAACAUUUCACGCAAGCAGUCAAGGCUCCAGACACCAGGCCACUUUGCAGGGAAGACCCCUGGGCCCAGCAGGCAGCUUAUGUUGCCCAGACAUAAAGAGGCACCAUGAGGCUGACAUGCCCUCUCCCGUGGGGUUUGCCUUUCAGAAAAGGAUCCACACUAACAUCACAGGAGGCCCGUGGCAGGAGUAGAAAGUUGGGGCAGGAGGACAUUGUUUCAAAUCUCCAGGCAGUCUUCUGUCUCAGCAUAUUUGGAGAUUUGAAUGCCUCUUUGAGGCAAAUGGUUCUCUCUUCCAAAAAAACCGCCAGUUUUUCUUGAGGAAGCCUAUGAGCCCACACUAAUCUGAAGACGGACGUUUGAGGGGCCCGAGAAGUGCUCUCUGUGGCAACAGGGUCUGGUGCUUGCGGUCACAUCUGGCGCUUGCAGUCGCAUCCGUGCCACCCCGCCAGGCCCCUGGCUUCAGGCAGCAAGAACGCCUCUUUGGUCUGUCUGCAUUCGGGCAGCACUGGGACUGCAAGCUGUCAUUUGCUCUUCGGGAGCUGUUUGCGUUAUUAUGGGCAUUUUGAUUCUGACUCAGGAGGCCAGACUGAGGCGCAUAAAGCAAUUGGCAAGCUGUGAGAGAGAGAGAGAGAAGAGGAAAUGUCACAAAGGUUCCAGCCAUGGAGGAAAUUUCUAUGGAGGAGGUACUCGAAGGAGGCUGUGAAGAACAGAGAGGGUUGGGGACACGUCGUGGAAGGACAGGGCAUCCCCAUGAAGCGAGCAGCUUGUGUGUGAUUUCUCAGCAGGCAGGUCUGGGUCUAUCGCUUACUGGCUGCAUGGUCUUGAAAAAAAUGACUUAAACUCUUUGUGCUUCCUUUUCCUUAAUGGUGACAAGAGCAGGUUAGUCCCUACCUGUAAGGCCCUACUGAGGAGUCGACAAGGUAAUUCUUACAGUGUCCUUACCACACUGCCUAGGCCAUUUGAAGCAACCCAUAAAUAUGGCCAGUAUGUUGUUUUUGUUUUUGUUAGUAUUAUAUGUUAGAAUAUUAAAAUGCCAACUCCUCUCACGUUUCGAAGCAAACUUUGAGACCACCAAGCAGGACUUUCCAAGAAGGUGUAAACUGACAUGUGGCCACUCCUAGGCCCUCAGCCAUACUUAAGGUAUAAGAGGACCAUGAGCAGAAAUGACAGGGGGAGAGGGUCUCUUUUCAGAGAGUUGUGGGUAUGCUCUGGUCUAGUCUCCCAAAGGUUAGGCAUCCCUUGCUUCAAGCUGGGGUAAGGGACUUCAUAAACACUACUUGGAGAGCUUGCUACAUGUCCCCUCAAUGGGGGACAUGGGAUUCUGCUGAUUCACUCCUGAGAAACACAAAGAACGCAGACUGCUCUUUCCUGGUGGUGGAGAGGAGAGGCAGCAUCCGGAAAGUUUGCUGGAGCAAAGGCAGGAGUGUUUCCUGGUGACCAUAUUCAGGCCUCAUGAAGAAGAGCUAGCAAGAGGAUUCAAAAGGGUCACUAACAAUGAAGACCUCAGAAACCCAAGUUUGAAAUGCCCAAGAUCUGCAGGAGGAGCCCACAGCCACCAACUGGUACAAACAUUCACCAUACCCAGGGAAAAGCAGGUAAGGGAUGGCUAGUCAAGGUAUGCACUGGGGGGUUGGGAGGAAAGUGUGUGGGGAGGAGGAGGAGGAAAUCUCUGGGAGGAGAAAGAAACAGGAAAGCAAUCUCAUCAGAGGAAGAAUCAGCCUUUAACUGCCAAGCCCAAGGAAUGCAAAGGCCAACUCACGCAGAAUUAAGUUAGUGUAUCAGUGUGUUGGUUCCCUAUUGCUGUUAUAGAAAAUCAUCAAGAACUUAGUGGCUUAAAACAGCACAAAUUUGUUAUUUCACAGUUUAGAAAAGUCUGAAGUCUGAAAUAGGUCUCAAUGGGCUAAAAUCAGGGCUGUCAGCAGGGCUGCAUUCCUUUCGAGAAGUUCUAGGAAAGAGUCUAGAGUUUCUUGCCUAUUCCAGGUUCUAAAGACGGCUGCAUUCCUAGGCUCUUGACUGCCUUCCACCCUCAAAGACAGCAAUUUUCACUUUUCCUCAUAUCACAUCAUUUGGACUCUCUCUUCUGCCUUUCUUUUAAGGACGCUUGUCAUUACACUGAGCCCACCUCAAUGAUUAGGGAUAAUUGCCCCCAUCUCAAGGUCAUAUGAUUAACAACCUUAAUUCUAGCUAUAAUGUAUUCACAGCUUCCAGGGAUUAGUAUGUGGAUGUGUUUGGGCCAUUGUUAUUGUGCCCACCAUAGUCAAUAAGAAUCUUCCCACCCCUCAGCUCCCUCUCUGCCUUAAAUUCAACCCCAGACGAGCCAGGAGCAGCCUGGCUAGUGUUGGAGGUUGAGAAACAGACAAGGAGCCAAUGUGCACAGUAUCAGCACAGUGCCUGAAACAGCAUGAGGAAUAAAUUAAAUUAAUAUUCAGUGAAUGUAUGUAUCCACAUCCCAUAGUAAUUGGGGGCCCAGUAUGAUUCCUGAUGGGAGCAGCCCCCUUUUGACGCUCCCAGCCAGAUCUCCAAAACAGGGAAGUCCUUUUGCCAAAACUCAAAUCCUGCCUUAUCCCCUUUUAAAUUGUAGUUAGGUUAUUGUUUUCACCCGAACUCUAGAAUUGUGUAACAAUACCUUGUAACAUAUGGCACACACAGCUCCCUAAAAAGAGGACCCAAUCAAAAUUUAUAAGGCAAGAGUUUCCAUCUCCGAUUUUAAAUGGGACUAACCGCUGAAAUUAGAGUUGUUGCUCUAUUUCGGACAGAGAGAAGAGUGUUCAGGACUGCCAAGAACAAGCAGGGCAGCGAUACCCUCCCAGUCACUGUCAGAGGCAACCUCCGCUCACCUGAACCAGACGGAGGGUGGGACCGAGGCGCGCAGGCUCCGGGAAGAGGAAAGUGAACAUGUCAGCUGAUCAGAGCCAACUUUUGAUUUUUCACAGAAAAGGGGAAAUAGGGCAACAUGAAAGACUGGGAGCCAAAUACAGAGAAGCAGUAAGGUGCGUCCUGUAUGAAAAGAUCAAGCCCCCUUGUUGGAGUGAGUCAGCCGUCCCACCAAACCUGCCAUCCCCCUGCAGGGGCUCAGGAAUCUUCAAAAGUAAUCACGACACUAACUAGAUAGUAUUUGUGUAGCUGGAAAAGAAAGUCCAAGGCAAUAAUCUGUGAGCACAGGCCAGGGCAGGUGAGAGAGGCAGACUCUCAGGGGCUUCAGCGAGGCUCAGCCUCCGGUGGCCAGGAAGAAGCCUCCAUCAAAAGCAACUAUGGCAUGCUCAUAGUCUUCUGAUUACCAACUUGGUUCAUGGAUUUGAGGAAGGAGUUUGGAAUAAUCCAGGACUUAACAAUUAAUAAUCUCCUGUAAUUUAAUAAACUUGUGUUUUGGUUUACACA